rnacentral:rRNA from 1 species
GCUUGUCAUGCAACAAAUCUCUUGUAUCUUCACAAGCUACUCGGCAAGACGGCACACGAGCUCCUCACCGAUAACAAACCCCAAGUUGGAUACUUUCGAGUAUUCGGCUCAAAGUGCUACAUUCUUGAUAAGCAUCGUUGUUCUAAAUUUGCUCCUAAAUCUCAUGAAGGUUUCCUACUUGGUUAUGGCUCAAACUCUCACACUUACCGUGUCUACAACAAUUUCACCCGAAAGGUUGAAGAGACGGUAGAUGUGAAGUUUGAUGAAUCUAACGGCUCGCAAGUAGAGCAAUUGCCAAUUGAUGUAGGAGGCAAAGACCCUUCGGAAGCAAUUCAAGACUUGUCCAUUGGCAAGAUUCGUCCAACGGAAGUGAAGGAGAGUACCUCGUCCGUCCAAGUGGAAGCUUCUACCUCACGAUAA